UGAGUAUGUGGUUUAAUCGAUGCAACGCGAAGAACCUUACCUGGUCUUGACAUCCCGGAAGACCCUUAGGAAACUAGGGGGUGCUUCCAGUCUGGAAGAAUCUGGAGACAGGUGCUGCAUGGCUGUCGUCAGCUCGUGUCGUGAGAUGUUGGGUUAAGUCCCGCAACGAGCGCAACCCUUGCCUUUAGUUGCCAGCAGUUCGGCUGGGCACUCUAAAGGGACUGCCGGUGUUAAACCGGAGGAAGGUGGGGAUGACGUCAAGUCCUCAUGGCCUUUAUGACCAGGGCUACACACGUACUACAAUGGCCGAUACAAAGGGCAGCGACACUGCGAGGUGAAGCCAAUCCCGUAAAAUCGGUCUCAGUCCGGAUUGGAGUCUGCAACUCGACUCCAUGAAGUUGGAAUCGCUAGUAAUCGUGGAUCAGCAUGCCACGGUGAAUACGUUCCCGGGCCUU
rnacentral:rRNA from 1 species